rnacentral:rRNA from 1 species
GACGAACGCUGGCGGCGUGCUUAACACAUGCAAGUCGAACGGAAAGGCCCUGCUUUUGUGGGGUUCUCGAGUGGCGAACGGGUGAGUAACACGUGAGUAACCUGCCCUUGACUUUGGGAUAACUUCAGGAAACUGGGGCUAAUACCGGAUAGGAGCUCCUGCUGCAUGGUGGGGGUUGGAAAGUUUCGGCGGUUGGGGAUGGACUCGCGGCUUAUCAGCUUGUUGGUGGGGUAGUGGCUUACCAAGGCUUUGACGGGUAGCCGGCCUGAGAGGGUGACCGGCCACAUUGGGACUGCGAUACGGCCCAGAAUCCUACGGGAGGCAGCAGUGGGGAAUAUUGCACAAUGGGCGGAAGCCUGAUGCAGCAACGCCGCGUGCGGGAUGACGGCCUUCGGGUUGUAAACCGCUUUCGCCUGUGACGAAGCGUGAGUGACGGUAAUGGGUAAAGAAGCACCGGCUAACUACGUG